GAGGGCGCAGCUCAUUGGCAGAGCGCUUGCUUAGCAUGCACGAGGUCCUGGGUUCAAUCCCCAGUGCCUCCG
rnacentral:tRNA from 1 species